UACGGAAGGGGGCUAGCGUUGCUCGGAAUUACUGGGCGUAAAGCGUGCGCAGGCGGUGAUGUAAGACCGGAUAGUGAAAUCCCCGGCUUAACCUGGGAACUGCAUUGGUGAGCUGCAUUGGCUGGAGUAUGGCAGAGGGGGGUGGAAUUCCACGGUGUAAGCAUGUGAAAUGCGUAGAGAUGUGGAGGAACACCGAGUGGCGA
rnacentral:rRNA from 1 species